UUCAGAACUGCAGAUAGUACAGCUUUCACAGGAGCAAGGGAUGCCUGAGCACAAGUGGCUGAGUUCCGCGUGACUUUAUGAAGCCCUUUCCCACCUCCCUCCUUCAGGAAAACGGGAGAUUCUGCACCUGCGUCAGGGACAGUCUGGCCAAAGCCUCUGCUCUGCCUCCGGGGACGAGGAGCUAGCACAAAUAGCCGUUUUGAAAUUGGAUCUUGGCAAAAUUUGCAACGAAUCCAUAAAGGAAACUGAAAGCAGUUUGAUCUUCAUCUUCAGUGACAGUCCCACAAAAGUUGAAGAAAUAUGUUCUGUCUCCAAAGAAGAGUACAGUUGUGCCCUAAAAUUAAAACAUGAUUAAGGGGUUUGGGUAAUAUGCCAGUGAUGUGCUUUUCAUUGUCGAGGAAUCCAUCUACUACACAAAAGAGGCACGGGUACACCAUCCAGCAGAUGGAAAUGUCCUGUUUCACAUGGAGUAACUGUAAAGACUCAACCUCAAAAAUAAAAGCCGAAAAUAGACUGAAGCAUAAUAUAUUUUUAUAGCUCUCUCUCCAGAAUGACAGAAUUUUCUGUAAAUCUCAUUAUGUAAAAUAUGCCUUCCCUGUGGUAAGUAUGAGGUAUGGGGAGAAACUAAUUGGAUUGCUCAAAUUAGUCAAUAUGUCUGAAACUAUUUUGGGGAUGCUUAGCCUUUUGGGUAACUAUAUGAUAUAAUUUCUUGGUUUCUUGUGAGAGUUAUUCUUUUGAGCAACAAGCAGAAAUCCAGCACAACAUUAAGAAAUGCAAUUUUAGGCACAAUACAAGGGCCACAGAUGACCACAAUGUGUAUCGUCAUCUCAAAGAGAAUGAUGUACUGAAAAAUUAAGAGUGAUAGCAUGACAGUGGAAUGACUGCCAACUUUUUGGAUAUUGAUGUAAGCUGAAUUUAAUAAAAGCAAAAGAGAUGUUAGUGAAGGAAGACUCUAGAAUAACUUAUUUUGUGAUUUUGUUAGGGUUUUUCUAAUGGUAUCUUCUCUGGGGCAAAUAUCUUCUAGCUGAAAUGAUUGUAAUUAAAAAAAUAAAAUUGUAAAAGGCCAGAACAUUUUGUCUUAAGAAUAUUAUACUUGACAGUAUCUUAACUACUAGUAAAUAUGUCCUUGUGUUUCUUUAAAUCCUCUGUGGACUAAAUAUUCCACUCGCUGAGAUUGUUUUAUAAAUAUCAGUAUUUAUGUUGAUUUGACUGGUUUUUUUGGAUAAACAUGGCCCAGUAUACACAUCUGAACUCCAUUGACUUCUUGGUGUUAAUUGCCUCGGGAGGUGGCACUACAGGCCAGAGAAUCUGCCAUUGAUCACAUUUUGGGAAUUGUCUUUAAAUCGACACCAUUUAUUUUUAAACCCCAUUUUAAAUUCAAUUAACCAACCUAUAGUACAUCAUUAUGCUGAAAGAAGACAAAUCUCUAGAUCCUUUGAGCGUGAUUCAGUUUUCAAGAGUCGCUGGAAAACCCAUAAUGUUACAAAAUUUGGUGCAUAAAAUCGUUGAUUAUUGAUUCACAAGAACUGGAAUAAAACAACAAAUCUAAUUUUCAUCUGUGCUGAAUGAAAUACCUGAGAAGUUCAUUUUGGAUAUUUGUUCUGAACACCCACUUAGAGUCAAUACUAAAAAAGGAAUGAGAUGGGAAAAUAAUUUCUACUGGACCUCAAGGAGGGAACAGUAUGUGGUUCAUAAAUUUGGAUAGAGGGCAUGAAACUCAUUCCUAAAGAUAUGUUUUGGUAAGAACAGAAGUAGGUAAGGAAGAACUUUCAUCUAACCAGAGCACAUCAUUGCCUCUCUGUUCUCUUCUAUAUAGCUUUUUACUAAACAAAACUUGGGGACAGUUAAAGAAUAUAGUUUUGAAUGGGUCCCAAAAUUAUUAGUACCCGCAUGUCUUGUUCAAUUGAGAUAAUAUAGAAAUGUUUUCAAAAAUGAAAAUAUCAUAAGACAUAUAAAAUCUCUCAAGAGGUUAUUUGGGGGCCAGACACGUAUUUAUGAUUGCAAGGGUUAAAAACAUGAUUAUCUUUGUUCAUGUCAUCCAAAAGAAAAUACAUGGUCCAUUGCACAACAGAGUAAAAUUCAUAAUCUAAUAAGAUGCUUUUAUUAAAGAAAAAAAAAUUAUUUGCCUGUAAUUUAACCCCGUGCAUUGCUUUAUGUCAGUCAUUUGGGUUGUGGCCAAGAUCCCUGAUGAGCAUUGACCUGUUUGCACUUUUCCACACCAGAACCUCUGAAGAUGAUUAGCUUCUGUGAUUUAGACUUGAGAUUCCAGGCCAUCCAGAUGUGUGGGACCCCAAAAUGGAAGUUAGCUCUUUCUACACUGUUUUAUAUAAAGUCAG